GACGAACGCUGGCGGCGUGCUUAACACAUGCAAGUCGAGCGGUAAGGCCCUUCGGGGUACGACGAGCGGCGAACGGGUGAGUAACACGUGGGUGACCUGCCUCUAGCUCUGGGAUAAGCCUGGGAAACUGGGUCUAAUACCGGAUAUGACUCCACGGCGCAUGUUGUGGGUGGAAAGCCUUGUGUGGCUAGAGAUGGGCCCGCGGCCUAUCAGCUUGUUGGUGGGGUGAUGGCCUACCAAGGCGACGACGGGUAGCCGGCCUGAGAGGGCGACCGGCCACACUGGGACUGAGACACGGCCCAGACUCCUACGGGAGGCAGCAGUGGGGAAUCUUGCGCAAUGGGCGAAAGCCUGACGCAGCGACGCCGCGUGAGGGAUGACGGCCUGGUGUAACU
rnacentral:rRNA from 1 species